UACGAAGGGGGCUAGCGUUGCUCGGAAUUACUGGGCGUAAAGCGCACGUAGGCGGAUUGUUAAGUCGGGGGUGAAAUCCUGGAGCUCAACUCCAGAACUGCCUUCGAUACUGGCGAUCUCGAGUUCGGGAGAGGUGAGUGGAACUGCGAGUGUAGAGGUGAAAUUCGUAGAUAUUCGCAAGAACACCAGUGGCGAAGGCGGCUCACUGGCCCGUAACUGACGCUGAGGCACGAAAGCGUGGGGAGCAAACAGG
rnacentral:rRNA from 1 species